GCAAUGAAAGUGAAGAGGAGCCUCGCGCCCCUCCAGGCAGGAUCUGUCGUCCGUUUUGUGGGCGGCAGCGCACUGCCGGCCCGUCUCGGCCGCUUAUGACGGCGAGGCGGAGCAAGAGCGCACGCUCUGGGACCCGAAAGAUGGUGAACUAUGCCUGAGCAGGACGAAGUCAGGGGAAACUCUGAUGGAGGUCCGCAGCGAUUCUGACGUGCAAAUCGAUCGUCAAACUUGGGUAUAGGGGCGAAAGACUAAUCGAACCAUCUAGUAGCUGGUUCCUUCCGAAGUUUCCCUCAGGAUAGCUGGCACUAAUCUCGCUGCAGUUUUAUCCGGUACAGCGAAUGAUUAGAGGGAUUGGGGAUUUCUUGUCCUCAACCUAUUCUCAAACUUUAAAUGGGUAAGAAGCACGACUCGCCUGAAACAUUUUACUACGGAGUCGCUGCCUACUAUUGAAUGCAUGAGUGCCAAGUGGGCCAAUUUUGGUAAGCAGAACUGGCGCUGUGGGAUGAACCAAACGUCCGGUUAAGGCGCCCGAGGCGGACGCUCAUCAGACCCCAUAAAAGGUGUUGGUUGGUAUAGACAGCAGGACGGUGGCCAUGGAAGUCGGCAUUCGCUAAGGAGUGUGUAACAACUCACCUGCCGAAUCAACCGGCCCUGA
rnacentral:rRNA from 1 species